rnacentral:rRNA from 1 species
AUUGAACGCUGGCGGCAAGCCUAACACAUGCAAGUCGAACGAGUGGCGGACGGGAGAGUAAUGUCUGGGAAACUGCCUGAUGGAGGGGGAUAACUACUGGAAACGGUAGCUAAUACCGCAUACCAUCGGAUGUGCCCAGAUGGGAUUAGCUAGUAGGUGGGGUAAAGGCUCACCUAGGCGACGAUCCCUAGCUGGUCUGAGAGGAUGACCGGACCAACUGUAAAUGAGACAGGGUCAAGACUCCUACGGGAGGCAGCAGGGGGGAAUAUUGCACAAUGGGCGCAAGCCUGAUGCAGCCAUGCCGCGUGUAUGAAGAAGGCCUUCGGGUUGUAAAGUACUUUCAGCGGGGAGGCGUUACCCGCGGAAGAAGCACCGGCUAACUCCGUGCCAGGAGCCGCGGUAAUUC